GGUGACGGCACCAGUAAUGGACACGGCACCAAUUAUGGACAUUUUUUUCGUUGAUCGAAUUUAUUAAGCAACUGUCCCGACAUUUUUUAACUGGCAACACUAAAGCAUAACCAAUAGACGUUUGAGCUGUCAUUUUGACACACGUCACCAAAAUCGGCCAUUUUGUUCUUAGAUGGCUGCGAAGUCAAAAUUCGUUACGCGCGGUGGUAAUAAAAAUCCGUUUUUAUUAUUGAAAUCGUUAAGGAGAUGGCACCGAAGAAAAAUUAUACCCCCGAACAAAUGGGGAGAGCAUUGGAUGCUGUAAGGAUGGGAGAAACUAUAAGCAUAGCUGCCCUCCGGUUUGGGGUUCCUCGAAUAACCUUGCACAACAAGGUGACAGGCAAAAGUCCUGCAGUUUGUGCUAUGGGGCCUCAAACUAUCCUUACGGCAGAAGAAGAGGACAUUCUGGUAAAAUGGUUGGUCGCAAUGAGUGAAAAGCACUUUCCCAUAAAUAGACAAUUAUUAACAGAGAGCGUGCAAAAAAUUAUAUUAGAUCAAGGGAAGGCCAAUCCUUUUACAAAUAACAAACCUGGAAAAAAGUGGUUUUCCUCAUUUUUAAAACGUCAUCCAGAUAUAACAGAAAAAACAGCACAAAAUCUUUCGAAGUCGAGGGAUGACGUUACCGAAGAAGGCAUACGCAAAUGGUUUAAUGAAAUAACGACAUACAUAGAAGGUGUAGGUUUAAAAGAUGUUUUAGAUGACCCUAGCCGGAUAUUUAAUACCGACGAAAGCGCAUUUUUUUUGUCACCAAAAGCAGGCCGAGUUCUGCUGAAAUGUGAUACUUCUUUUGAUUAUAUUGUCAAACGUCCGUAGGUACAAUAGCAUGCCUAACAAGAUAUUAAGCUUUUUUGAUAGUUUUUUUAAUAUUUUAUAUUGUGCUUUAUGAUUAUUAUAUUGCUAAGAUUCUAAUUUCUUGCCUGAUAGAUCUCAGUUGAUUAGUGUGUUACCAAUUCUAAGCUGCAGCUGCUGGCAAAGAGGCAAAGCCUCAAUAAAUGUUUAAAAAUUACUGAAAACCAGAUGGUUGAUUGAAAGUCUGAUAGUAUAACUUGGAAAUCUAAGACUGAUCAUGUUGAAAGUUCAAAUAGCGUUACCUAAUAAUAAAAGUUGAUUUGUGA